GACGAACGCUGGCGGCGUGCUUAACACAUGCAAGUCGAACGGAAAGGCCCUGCUUUUGUGGCGUGCUCGAGUGGCGAACGGGUGAGUAACACGUGAGUAACCUGUCCUUGACUUUGGGAUAACUUCAGGAAACUGGGGCUAAUAUCGGAUAGGAGCUCCUGCUGCAUGGUGGUGGUUGGAAAGUUUCGGCGGUUGGGGAUGGACUCGCGGCUUAUCAGCUUGUUGGUGGGGUAGUGGCUUACCAAGGCUUUGACGGGUAGCCGGCCUGAGAGGGUGACCGGCCACAUUGGGACUGAGAGACGGCCCAGUCUCCUACGGGAGGCAGCAGUGGGGAAUAUGGCACAAUGGGCGGAAGCCUGAUGCAGCGACGCCGCGUGCGGGAUGACGGCCUUCGGGUUGUAAACCGCUUUCGCCUGUGACGAGGCGUGAGUGACGGUAAUGAGUAAAGAAGCACCGGCUAACUACGUG
rnacentral:rRNA from 1 species